rnacentral:rRNA from 1 species
UGAUGCAGCCAUGCCGUGUGUAUGAAGAAGGUCCUUGGGUUNUAAAGUACUUUCAGCAGUGAGGAAGGUGGGUAUGUUAAUAGCAUAUUCAUUUGACGUUAGCUGCAGAAGAAGCACCGGCUAACUCCGUGCCAGCAGCCGCGGUAAUACGGAGGGUGCGAGCGUUAAUCGGAAUUACUGGGCGUAAAGCGCAUGCAGGUGGUUUGUUAAGUCAGAUGUGAAAGCCCGGGGCUCAACCUCGGAAUUGCAUUUGAAACUGGCAAACUAGAGUACUGUAGAGGGGGUAGAAUUUCAGGUGUAGCGGUGAAAUGCGUAGAGAUCUGAAGGAAUACCGGUGGCGAAGGCGGCCCCCUGGACAGAUACUGACACUCAGAUGCGAAAGCGUGGGGAGCAAACAGGAUUAGAUACCCUGGUAG